AAGUCGUAACAAGGUCUCCGUUGGUGAACCAGCGGAGGGAUCAUUACCGAGUCACGUGCUCAAACAACCCUUCUGUGGACCUGAACCAAACCGUUGCCUCGGCGGGCGGUCCCCUGGCAAAACCCACGUGGUGUAGGCAGGGGACCAGACAGUCCGGUACGCUUGAGGCGUCCGGCGCCAGCCGCUGGCCCUAAACAACUAAACUCUAGUAACCUUACCUUCUGAGUUUUAAUAAAAAAAAUAAGUCAAAACUUUCAACAACGGAUCUCUUGGCUCUG
rnacentral:misc_RNA from 1 species